UAUUGGACAAUGGGCGCAAGCCUGAUCCAGCCAUGCCGCGUGAGUGAAGAAGGCCCUCGGGUUGUAAAGCUCUUUUGUCCGGAAAGAAAAGCUUCGGGUUAAUACCCUGGAGUACUGACGGUACCGGAAGAAUAAGCACCGGCUAACUUCGUGCCAGCAGCCGCGGUAAUACGAAGGGUGCAAGCGUUACUCGGAAUUACUGGGCGUAAAGCGUGCGUAGGUGGUUCGUUAAGUCCGAUGUGAAAGCCCUGGGCUCAACCUGGGAAUGGCAUUGGAUACUGGCGGGCUAGAGUGCGGUAGAGGGGUGUGGAAUUCCCGGUGUAGCAGUGAAAUGCGUAGAGAUCGGGAGGAACAUCCGUGGCGAAGGCGACACCCUGGACCAGCACUGACACUGAGGCACGAAAGCGUGGGGAGCAAACAGG
rnacentral:rRNA from 1 species